AUUGAACGCUGGCGGCAGGCUUAACACAUGCAAGUCGAGCGGGGAAAGGUAGCUUGCUACUUUACCUAGCGGCGGACGGGUGAGUAAUGCUUAGGAAUCUGCCUAUUAGUGGGGGACAACAUCUCGAAAGGGAUGCUAAUACCGCAUACGUCCUACGGGAGAAAGCAGGGGACCUCCGGGCCUUGCGCUAAUAGAUGAGCCUAAGUCGGAUUAGCUAGUUGGUGGGGUAAAGGCCUACCAAGGCGACGAUCUGUAGCGGGUCUGAGAGGAUGAUCCGCCACACUGGGACUGAGACACGGCCCAGACUCCUACGGGAGGCAGCAGUGGGGAAUAUUGGACAAUGGGGGGAACCCUGAUCCAGCCAUGCCGCGUGUGUGAAGAAGGCCUUUUGGUUGUAAAGCACUUUAAGCGAGGAGGAGGCUACCGAGAUUAAUACUUUUGGAUAGUGGACGUUACUCGCAGAAUAAGCACCGGCUAACUCUGUGCCAGCAGCCGCCGUAA
rnacentral:rRNA from 1 species